rnacentral:lncRNA from 1 species
CGCCUUCCUCCUGUGACAUCAUAGUGGCAGGGCAUGGGGCUUGCUCUCCGGGUUCUUUGGUCUGAUGGGAGGGACACCUCUCAAACCUCUGCGGACCUCAGUUCCUCCCCCUGGCCUUUUCCCUCCUAGGUGUAGGCCCCUUCCCAGCAGAGUUCUCCUCCACCAACCCCCCAGAUCAAAGAUUCCGAGACUGUUUGCUGAUGGUUCAAUUUUUCCCCCAACAUUUUGCUUCCAGUAUUUGUGUUUCUACGUAUAAGCGGUGUGGGGAAGAGACAGGAAGACUCAUGGGGUUAUUCUGAUCAUGGCGGUACAGGAAGGGAUGGCUGGAUAGUAGACUACAUCCACAUCUUCGGGCAAGGACAAAGAUACCUCAACAGGAGAAAUUGGGCAGGGACAGGGCAUUCUCUCCAGCAGGUGACUGGGCAUGACCACUACAAUGCUGAUCUGAAACCGAUCGAUGGGUUCAAUGGAAGGUUUGGCUACCGCAGGAACACUCCAGCCCUCCGUCAGAGCACGUCCGUCUUCGGAGAGGUCACCCACUUCCCUCUGUUCUAACAGCAUCUUUUCCCUUCAUAGCCAUCGACCUGAAUUUCUAAGACAAAUGUUUAGAUGAACUCUUAGUGUUAUUUUACGUUAAAAAAAUUAAUUUGUGUCUC